CCUGGUCCGUGAUGACUCCCAAAUUUGGAGACUGUUGGAUGAGUCCUGCGGAUAUGGGGCUGAGGCCUGGC
rnacentral:snoRNA from 1 species